UGGGGAAUAUUGGACAAUGGGCGCAAGCCUGAUCCAGCCAUGCCGCGUGAGUGAUGAAGGCCCUAGGGUUGUAAAGCUCUUUCACCGGUGAAGAUAAUGACGGUAACCGGAGAAGAAGCCCCGGCUAACUUCGUGCCAGCAGCCGCGGUAAUACGAAGGGGGCUAGCGUUGUCCGGAUUUACUGGGCGUAAAGCGCACGUAGGCGGACUAUUAAGUCAGGGGUGAAAUCCCGGGGCGCAACCCCGGAACUGCCUUUGAUACUGGUAGUAUUGAGUUCGAGAGAGGUGAGUGGAAUUCCGAGUGUAGAGGUGAAAUUAGUAGAUAUUAGGAGGAACACCAGUGGCGAAGGCGGCUAACUGGCUCGAUACUGACGCUGAGGUGCGAAAGCGUGGGGAGCAAACAGG
rnacentral:rRNA from 1 species